GACGAACGCUGGCGGCGUGCUUAACACAUGCAAGUCGAACGAAGUGGCGAACGGGUGAGUAACGCGUAAACAACCUGCCCUCCUGAGGGGGACAACAGUUGGAAACGACUGCUAAUACCGCAUACUGAAGGAGGGGAUUGCGUCUGAUUAGUUAGUUGGUGGGGUAACGGCCCACCAAGGCGAUGAUCAGUAGCCCGUCUGAGAGGAUGAACCGCCACAUUGGGAAUGAGACACGGCCCAGACUCCUACGGGAAGCAGCAGUGGGGAAUCUUCCGCAAUGGAAGAAAGUCUGACGGAACAAAGCCGCGUGAGUGAUGAAGGCCUUCGGGUUGUAAAGCUCUGUUAGUCGGGACGCGGUACCGGAAUAGAAAGCCACGGCUAACUACGUGCCAGCAGCCGCGGUAAUUC
rnacentral:rRNA from 1 species